rnacentral:tRNA from 1 species
GAUUGAUUAGCUCAGUGGUAGAGCAUCCGAAGUCCUCGGCUAGUCGUAGGUUCGACUCCUACAUCAAACA